CCCACUGAUAUAAAUUAAAGGGCCGCAGUAUUUUGACUGUGCGAAGGUAGCAUAAUCACUAGUCUUUUAAUUGGAGGCUUGUAUGAAUGGUUGAAUGAGAUAUAUACUGUCUUUUUUAAAAUUAUAUAGAAUUUUAUUUUUUAAUUAAAAAGUUAAAAUAAAAUUAAAGGACGAGAAGACCCUAUAGAUCUUUAUUUUUGUUAUUUAUAAAUUAAAAAGAAUUUUAAAAUUUAUAAUUUAAUAAAAAAUUUUAUUGGGGUGAUAUUAAAAUUUAAAAAACUUUUAAAAUUUAUUAACAUAAAUAUAUGAAUAAAUGAUCCAGUUUUAUUGAUUAAAAAUUUAAGUUACCUUAGGGAUAACAGCGUAAUUUUUUUUUAGAGUUCAUAUCGACAAAAAAGAUUGCGACCUCGAUGUUGGAUUAAGAGUUAUUUUUAGGUGUAGAAGUUUAAAGUUUAGGUCUGUUCGACCUUUGAAUUCUUACAUGAUCU
rnacentral:rRNA from 1 species